GUGGGUGUAGCUCAGUUGGCCAGAGCACCAGGUUGUGGCCCUGGGGGUCGUGGGUUCGAGUCCCAUCUCCCACCCCA
rnacentral:tRNA from 1 species